GAUGAACGCUGGCGGCGUGCCUAAUACAUGCAAGUCGAGCGAACAGACGAGGAGCUUGCUCCUCUAACGUUAGCGGCGGACGGGUGAGUAACACGUGGAUAACCUACCUAUAAGACUGGGAUAACUUCGGGAAACCGGAGCUAAUACCGGAUAAUAUAUUGAACCGCAUGGUUCAAUAGUGAAAGACGGUUUUGCUGUCACUUAUAGAUGGAUCCGCGCCGCAUUAGCUAGUUGGUAAGGUAACAGCUUACCAAGGCAACGAUGCGUAGCCGACCUGAGAGGGUGAUCGGCCACCCUGGAACUGAGACACGGUCCAGACUCCUACGGGAGGCAGCAGUAGGGAAUCUUCCGCAAUGGGCGAAAGCCUGACGGAGCAACGCCGCGUGAGUGAUGAAGGUCUUCGGAUCGUAAAACUCUGUUAUUAGGGAAGAACAAAUGUGUAAGUAACUAUGCACGUCUUGACGGUACCUAAUCAGAAAGCCACGGCUAACUACGUG
rnacentral:rRNA from 1 species